AGAUUCUUCGGAGGAUUUCCUAUUUGACUGAGCGGCGGACGGGUGAGUAACGCGUGGGUAACCUGCCUCAUACAGGGGGAUAACAGUUAGAAAUGACUGCUAAUACCGCAUAAGACCACAGCACCGCAUGGUGCAGGGGUAAAAACUCCGGUGGUAUGAGAUGGAUCCGCGUCUGAUUAGUUAGUUGGUGGGGUAACGGCCUACCAAGGCGACGAUCAGUAGCCAACCUGAGAGGGUGACCGGCCACAUUGGGACUGAGACACGGCCCAAACUCCUACGGGAGGCAGCAGGGGGGAAUAUUGCACAAUGGGGGAAACCCUGAUGCAGCGACGCCGCGUGAGCGAAGAAGUAUUUCGGUAUGUAAAGCUCUAUCAGCAGGGAAGAAAAUGACGGUACCUGACUAAGAAGCCCCGGCUAACUACGUGCCAGCAGCCGCGGUAAUACGUAGGGGGCAAGCGUUAUCCGGAUUUACUGGGUGUAAAGGGAGCGUAGACGGAGCAGCAAGUCUGAUGUGAAAACCCGGGGCUCAACCCCGGGACUGCAUUGGAAACUGUUGAUCUGGAGUGCCGGAGAGGUAAGCGGAAUUCCUAGUGUAGCGGUGAAAUGCGUAGAUAUUAGGAGGAACACCAGUGGCGAAGGCGGCUUACUGGACGGUAACUGACGUUGAGGCUCGAAAGCGUGGGGAGCAAACAGG
rnacentral:rRNA from 1 species